CGGGAGUAUGCUGAAAAUCCCGUAAGAAAAAGAGUAGGCA
rfam:Pedobacter africanus strain DSM 12126 genome assembly, contig: Ga0070588_101